UAUUGGAUUCUUUUUGGGUCUUCAAAUUUCUGUACAAAUGGAGAGAUUAUAACUAUGCUUGAAGGAAAGGAUUUAAAUUCCAAGCAGCCAUGAAAGACCAUUAAUCUGCUGAAAAUGGAAAGAAAUUCAACACCGGGAAGUAAAGACACUGACUCCAGGAAAUUUUUCCCAGUUCUCCAAUGAAGAAAGAACAUCUUUGCUUCCAAAAAAACCAAGAUGCUUCCUGGAGUAACCACAUACAGGGCAAAGUAGUUUCCUAUUUAUGGGAUUAAUUUGCUUUCAUUGAGACCCUGCCUGGAGUACUGCACCCAGCUCCGUGACUCCAAAAGUAAGAAGGAUGUGGUCCUGCUGGAGUGAGUCCAGAGGAGCAGCAUGAAUAGGGGCACAGGACUGGGGAGCCUCUUCUUUGAAGACAGGCUGAGAGAGUUGGGGUUGUUCAGCCUGAAGAAGAGAACACCCGGAGGAGACCUUAAAGCAGCCUUCCAGUACCUAAAGGGGAACUACAGGGAAGCUGAAGGGAGACUUCUUACAAGGGUGUGUAGUGACAUGACAAGGAGCAACAACUUUAAACUGAAACAGGGUGAGUUUAGGUCAGAUAUUAGUAAGAAAUUCUCUGCUGUGAGUAUGAUGAGGCACUGGAACGGGUUUCCCAUAGAAAAUGUGGAUGUACAGUCUCUGGAAGUAUUAAGAGCCAGGUUCAAUGGGGUUUUGACCAAAUUAGUCUAGUGGAACGUGAACCUGUCCAUGGCAGGGGGGUUAGAACUAGGUGUUCUUUAAUACCCCUUCUAAACCAAGACAUUCUUUCAUUCUAUGAUUCUGAUAUAUCAUGAAGUAAAUUCUAUUUUAAAUGUGGCUAGGUUUUUUGUUUGUUUGUUUGUUUGUUUUUGGUUUUGUUUUUUUUAACAUAAGUUGGAACACUGUAUCUGAUGUGAUUUACAUAUGAUUUGUUAAAAAUAAACACAACCUCUCUAUCUAUCUGAAACUUAUAUGAUUUUCAUGCAUCAGAGUUGUAUUUAUAAUAGCCUCAUGUUCAUUCACUUGGAAAAGAUGGAAAAAUAGCUUUGAUUACUGGAUUUUUAAUGUUGCAGACUGCAGGGCUAGACACCUUUUUUGCAGGGCUAGACAACUUGUUUCCUACUUUUUAUGAACACUAAUGGAAAGUUUGCAUAGAAGAGCUUUGUAGACAAGGAUGACUUUCUGAUUCUGACAGUUCCUGGGCAGCUUUCCUGUGGAGUUUUUCUUUAACCUUGUUAGAGUAAUAUGAACCAAAGUCUCCAACCUUCCAGUACCUAAAGUAGUAAAAAGUAAUUAAUCAAAAAUGCUUUCCUAAUUUGCUCUUUUUCCAUCUGUUCCUAUUGAAAGACUAGUUAACUCUUCUAGAAUGGCUGUGGCAUACAAAAACAGUAGACAGCACAAUAAAUUCUUCAUUGAUAGAUGUUUGGUGACAAUGAAAUUAUGCAAAACUGUAUCUCCCACUGCACUAUACGUGCACAAAGAGUGUUUGUACAUGAACAGCAACAUAAGUAAGAUUAUAAAGUAUG